CGAAGGGGCUAGCGUUGCUCGGAAUUACUGGGCGUAAAGGGAGCGUAGGCGGACAUUUAAGUCAGAGGUGAAAUCCCGGAGCUUAACUUCGGAACUGCCUUUGAUACUGGGUGUCUUGAGUGUGAGAGAGGUAUGUGGAACUCCGAGUGUAGAGGUGAAAUUCGUAGAUAUUCGGAAGAACACCAGUGGCGAAGGCGACAUACUGGCUCAUUACUGACGCUGAGGCUCGAAAGCGUGGGGAGCAAACAGGAUU
rnacentral:rRNA from 1 species